GAUGAACGCUAGCGGCAGGCUUAAUACAUGCAAGUCGAGGGGCAUCAAGGUACACGAAAGUGUAUUGUUGGCGACCGGCGGACGGGUGAGUAAUAGGUAGGUAACCUACCUCAUACUGAGGCAUAGCUGGGAGAAAUUCCAGGUAAUUCCUCAUGAGGUUAUAUGACACAUGUGAUAUAAUCAAAGGUAUCGCAAGGUACUGGUAUGAGAUGGGCUUACUGACCAUUAGCUAGUUGGUGAGAUAAGAGCUCACCAAGGCGAAGAUGGUUAGGGGUUUUGAGAGAGAGAUCCCCCACAUUGGAACUGAGAUACGGUCCAGACUCCUACGGGAGGCAGCAGUAGGGAAUAUUGGGCAAUGGGCGGAAGCCCGACCCAGCCAUGCCGCGUGAAGGAAGACGGCCUUAUGGGUUGUAAACUUCUUUACUAUGCGACUAACUAGAUUUACGAGAUAAUUCUAUAGAAUGUAGCAUAGCAAAAGCACCGGCUAA
rnacentral:rRNA from 1 species